UGGCGAUGAGUUGAAGGAAGAUUGAGGAGUUUGUUGAAUUUUAGAGUUUGUCUUGAUAAUUGCAUGAAUAUUAUUUGAGAUUUAAGUGUGUUUUUAAUCAACUUGGUUUACCAACAUUUCUGUUAAAUUGUUCUUACUCUUAAGUCAAGCUUAAAGCAACCGAGAAAUGAUCGCAAAGAAAGAAGCAUAAGACACUUCGAGUGGUGAUGAUAAGAAGUAGUGUCGGUAUGUCAAGGUACACUUUAUCGCUUUCUAGACUUAACAUGAGUAGUUUGAUGGU
rnacentral:lncRNA from 1 species